GGUGCAGUAGCUCAGCGGUAGAGCAGUGGAUUGCAGAUCCACGAGUCCCUGGUUCGACUCCAGGUUGUACCU
rnacentral:tRNA from 1 species